AUGAGAGGCCUCAUUUGGAACUGUAGAGGGGUAGGCAAGAAAGGAAUGGCCACCUGCCUCUCAGACAUGAUUAGUGACCAUUCCCUUGACUUCAUUGGUCUGCAAGAAACUAUGAAGAAAAACUUUACUCCUAAAUGCAUUAGCAGAAUUGAUCCCUUUGGCAUAUUCCAUUAGGAGUGGAUACCAUCUGUAGGGAAAUCUGGUGGCAUAUUCAGGGGU
rnacentral:rRNA from 1 species